GUUGAAACACUGGUCCUCGUACGACCACCGAAGUUAAGCAACAUCGAACCUGGUCAGUAGCUAGAUGGGUAACCGCUUGGGAAUACCAGAUGCAGUAU